GAAGAAAUGAGAGGAAGACAAAGUUGAAUGUUCCACAUGUCUGAAACACGCUUUCGCAUUGAUAAAUAAGAUGGAUUCUGUAUUGAUAAACAAGAUGACUUAGUAGGUUUCAGUUCGUGCUGUUGUGAUGAUUGAUCUUGAGUGUGUUCAACCUCCUCGACUUUGGUCAGACAGUGAGGGUACUCAAUUUCGUGGCUAGUGGUUGAGUUUGAGAUUUUUGAGUUUUGUCAGGGUACUCAGCUUCGUGGCUAGUGGUUAAGUUCGAGAUUUCUGAGCUUUGGUGAGUCCUCAUACUUCGAGGAUGGAGUUUAUUGUUUAAUUCCAUUUCUUGUAUUUCUCUUUUGAACAUGAUGUAUGGGCUAGGCCCGAUUUCAUUCUAUUGUAUUAGAUGGCUAUGAUGAGAGAAGUGUAUUAGACUUCCACUU